UCUGGUUGAUCCUGCCAGUAGUCAUAUGCUUGUCUCAAAGAUUAAGCCAUGCAUGUCUAAGUAUAAAUAGUAUACAGUGAAACUGCGAAUGGCUCAUUAAAACAGUUAUAGUUUAUUUGAUAAUUGACAAUUACACGGAUAACCGUGGUAAUUCUAGAGCUAAUACAUGCUUAAACGCCCGACUUUAUGGAAGGGUGGUAUUUAUUAGACUGAAGCCAAUAUUCCUUGUGUCUAUUGCGGUGAUUCAUAAUAACUGAUCGAAUCUCUUUUUGAGAUAAAUCAUUCAAGUUUCUGCCCUAUCAGCAUUCGAUGGUAGUGUAUUGGACUACCAUGGCAGUAACGGGUAACGAAGAAUUAGGGUUCGAUUUCGGAGAGGGAGCAUGAGAAACGGCUACCACAUCUAAGGUAGGCAGCAGGCGCGUAAAUUACCCAAUCCUGACUCAGGGAGGUAGUGACAAGAAAUAGCAAACCGGGAACCUCAUGGUUUCACGGUAUUGCAAUGAGAACAAUUUAAAACCCUUAGCGAGAAUCAAGUGGAGGACAAGUCUGGUGCCAGCACCCGCGGUAAUUCCAGCUCCACUAGCGUAUAUUAAAGUUGUUGCAGUUAAAAAGCUCGUAGUUGAACCUCUGUCUGGGGCUAGUUUUGGCUUUGGUCAGGCUAGUUCUAGGCAUCCGCCUACAAGACUUAGAGGGCAUUCAGUUGUCCACUAGGAGGAGUAGGCAUUUUACUUUGAAAAAAUUAGAGUGUUUAAGGCAGGCAAUCGCCCGCAUAUAUUAGCAUGGAAUAAUAGAAUAGGACACUUUUCCAUUUCGUUGGUUAUUGGAAUCGUGUAAUGAUUAAUAGGGACAGUUGUGGGCAUUUGUAUUUAAUUGUCAGAGGUGAAAUUCUUGGAUUUAUUAAAGACAAACUAACGCGAAAGCAUUUGCCAAGGAUGUUUUCAUUAAUCAAGAACGAAAGUUAGGGGAUCAAAGACGAUCAGAUACCGUCCUAGUCUUAACUAUAAACUAUUCCGACUCAAUGUUUGACUGGCUUAUAUAACCAGUUGAGCGUUGUAUGAGAAAUCAAAGUCUUUAGGUUCUGGGGGGAGUAUGGUUGCAAAGCUGAAACUUAAAGGAAUUGACGGAAGAGCACAACCAGGAGUGGAUUCUGCGGCUUAAUUUGACUCAACACGGGGAAACUUACCAGGUUAAAACAAUAGUGGGAUUGACAGUUUGAGAGCGCUUUCUUGAUUGGUUGGGUGGUGGUGCAUGGCCGUUCUUAGUUGGUGGAGUGA
rnacentral:rRNA from 1 species